AUUUGUGGUGCUGGCCAAGGAACCCCAUGAGAAGUUUUGCCUUUUUGAGGGAUCCAUUCAAGGCUACAGAAAUCUAUCUGCAACAUCAUGUCAGAGUCUUUUCUAUGUUUAAUGUCUACUGUGAGUCUCCAAGAGAGUUUUAGGUUGGAUGGAGGGCUUUCCAAAUACAUUUAUCAGGAUGGUACAACUAAGACUUAGUUUUCAGAAGGAAUUCCAACCAGCCUGACUCAAAGGUGAUUCUUCAAAUUGCCAAGUGAAGAUUACACAACUGUAUGAGGAAGAUUUGCCUCUCCUAUGCACUAACUGAUCCAUGCUACACCAUUUGACUCCAUUAUUGAAGGUGAAAGGUAGCCUUGCUAUGUCCCCAUGGAAAUCCGCUGCAACCUGUGACUGGAACUACAACUGUUGUUCCCAGCAAGCCUGAGCCACAGUUAUGGU